GCUGACAUGUUGCCACGGCUCGAUUUAAGACAUGUUAACUUACUUGCACUCGGUGCAACCUGAGAUAAAACCUACUUGCACCUGCCCAAUUCCAGUUGCACUGCUUUUAUUGGAAUAUGUAAUGAAAUAAAUAUGCUAUGAAAUUUUUUAGAUGUUUUAUUCAGAGGUUUACCCACUCAAAAUUGACUUGCACCUGGUGCAAGUUAGACUAGU